rnacentral:rRNA from 1 species
UUGUAAUGUGAGCAGCCUGGGUGCGUCAGUGCAGGUAAGUGACAUGAAAAUGUUCGCCGUGGAGGGUGAGAGCCCCGUCCAGCCUGCACAGGGCGUGCCGUACAGGGCUGUCUCGAAUGAGUCGGGUAGCUUGGGAAUGCUGCUCUAAGAUCGGUGGUAAAUUUCAUCGAAGGCUAAAUACUGCUGGAAGACCGAUAGUGAACAAGUACCGUGAGGGAAAGAUGAAAAGCACUUUGAAAAGAGGGUGAAAAGAAUCUGAAACCGUUGUGAGGGAAGCGGAUUGCGUUGCAGUAACUGUGGGCGCCGGUGUGUUCAGCCUGUUUCGGCGGGUGUAGUGGCACCGGUGGCUCCGUCUGCUGUGGGUUUGUGGUGGCUGAUUGCAAGGCUGCUGCGGACUGAGGGCUCCGUGCUGCUUUGCGGCGGCACGUGAGGACGGCAGGGUGACGACGCGAUACGACCCGUCUUGAAACACGGACCAAGGAGUCUAGCACAGCUGCGAGUCUGAGGGUGUAAAAGCCUGUGGGCGAAGUGAAAGCGAAAGAUGGCGGUAAUUCCAUAUUUUCAGAAUGACAAAGUUGUUGCAAUUUGGGG